CUGGCUCAGAGCGAACGCUGGCGGCAGGCUUAACACAUGCAAGUCGAGCGGGCGUAGCAAUACGUCAGCGGCAGACGGGUGAGUAACGCGUGGGAACGUACCUUUUGGUUCGGAACAACACAGGGAAACUUGUGCUAAUACCGGAUAAGCCCUUACGGGGAAAGAUUUAUCGCCGAAAGAUCGGCCCGCGUCUGAUUAGCUAGUUGGUGAGGUAAUGGCUCACCAAGGCGACGAUCAGUAGCUGGUCUGAGAGGAUGAUCAGCCACAUUGGGACUGAGACACGGCCCAAACUCCUACGGGAGGCAGCAGUGGGGAAUAUUGGACAAUGGGGGCAACCCUGAUCCAGCCAUGCCGCGUGAGUGAUGAAGGCCUCUAGGGUUGUAAAGCUCUUUUGUGCGGGAAGAUAAUGACGGU
rnacentral:rRNA from 1 species